CAAUAGCGUAUAUUAAAGUUGUUGCAGUUAAACAGCUCGUAGUUGGAUUUGUGGCGUACGGUGUGUUCCGGGCACUUGUUGUCUGAGUAACCUGCUGUUGCCAUCCUUGGGUGGAACCUGUGUGGCAUUAGGUUGUCGUGCAGGGGAUGCCCAUCAUUUACUGUGAAAAAAUUAGAGUGUUCAAAGCAGGCUUAUGCCGUUGAAUAUAUUAGCAUGGAAUAAUGAGAUAGGACUUUUUUGCUAUUUUGUUGGUUUGCGCAAAGAGGUAAUGAUUAAUAGGGACAGUUGGGGGUAUUCGUAUUCCAUUGUCAGAGGUGAAAUUCUUGGAUUUUUGGAAGACGAACUACUGCGAAAGCAUUUACCAAGGAUGUUUUCAUUAA
rnacentral:rRNA from 1 species